GGGGUGCCCGUGUUUGCAGCUGGGGGGGUGUUGUCCCCCCCCCCCCGGUGUCCCCGUGGCCCCCGGUGCCAGCCGCUCUUGCAGGCAGCACCGCGCUGCACCUGGCCACCAUCGGCUGCCAGCCCCAGUGCGUCAAGGUCCUGCUGCAGUACGGUGCCGACACGCGCCACGUGGACGGGCAGCACCGCACCCCCCUGCACUGGGCCGCCUCCUCGGGCUGCGCCUCCAGCGUGCUGCUGCUCUGCGCACACGGGGCCCCGCUGGACGUCGCCGACGCCGUGAGCGGGGACCUGGGGGGGUGACGGGGACCUGGGGGGGGUUACGGGGACCUGGGGGGGGUGGCAGGAGCUGACGGAAGCUCUGUGACCCCCCCCCAGCACGGCCAGACACCCCUGAUGCUGGCGGCACGGGGGAACCACGCCGCCGUCUGCGCCCAGCUCCUGCAGAGCGGCGCCGACCCCGACCUCGCCGACAGGGACGAGAAGACAGCCCUGGACCUGGCCCACGAGCACGGCGGCACGGAGGCGGCCGCGCAGCUCCGGCACCACGGGGGCCACGGCCGCGCGCAGCGAGGUGAGCCCCCCCGCAGCACCCCCGUGGCCUCGCUCGGUGGUUUUUAUGAGAAAAAGGGGGAAAAGAGGUUUUUUUUUUUACUUCUCCUUCUGCCGGCAGAGAACGGAUCUGGUGGCGCUGGGGACCCUGAGCUGCAGGUAGGGGGCUCGGGGUGGGGGGCCCUGGGGAACCGCGGUGUGGCGGGGGGCUGCACCCCACUGCCUCGGCCCGCAGGGCCCCCUGGGCUGUGGAGAGAGCAGCGAGGAAGAGGAGAAGAAGGAGGAGGAGGAGGAGGAAGAUAAAAAGGAGGAAGAGGAGGAAGAGGAGCAGCGGGGUGAGCGUGGCACCGGCCUCCUCCAGCGGGUGCAGGACCUGGCACGGCCCCCACCCGGUGCCAGCAGCGAGGCCGAGGAUGAGGAUGAUGAUGAAGGCUCCGGCCUCGCUCCUCCAGCCGAGCACGGGCAGGAGCUGGCGAGGAGGAGGAGGAGGAGGAGGAGGAGGAAGGCUGAGGAAGAGCCCACGGGGCCGGGGGGGACCCGCGCCCCCCAGGAGGGAGCGGGACGGGGCGCGGAGGUGCAGGAGCUGAAGGAGCGCAACGGGAGCCUGGCGGGCGAGCUGGCCCGGCUGCGCCUCGAGAGGGGGAGGCUGCGGGAGGAGCUGCGGGCGCUGCGGGUGCGGGACCCCCAGCUGGGGGCGGCGGGGGAAGGGGGCAGCCGGGUGGGCGCCCUGUGCCGGGCGCUGGAGGCCAAGCGGGAGGAGGCAGCGAGGCUGCGGCGGAGGCUGGCGGGGCAGCGGAGGGAGCUGGAGGCGCUGCGGGACCGCCUGGGCAGGGGGGUGGGGGAGGACGAGGCCGGCGGCCCCCUCCCCGCCGCCUGCGUCCUGCGGGAGCUGCAGCGGCGGCUGGAGGCCCUGGCGAGGUCCCAGCACGAGGCCCUGCAGCUGGUGGCCGAGAUGGAGGCCGAGGAGGCGGCGGGGAGAGGAGGCCGCCCCGGCGAGGAGGACGGGGACGUCGGAGAGGGGCU
ensembl:lncRNA